CAAUAGCGUAUAUUAAAGUUGUUGCGGUUAAAAAGCUCGUAGUUGUAUUUCUGCUGAGAACGACCGGUCCGCCCUUUGGGUGUGUAUCUGGCUCUUUCUUGGCAUCUUCUUGGUGAACGUUGCUGCACUUGACUGUGUGGAGCGCUACCCAGGACUUUUACUUUGAGGAAAUUAGAGUGUUUCAAGCAGGCAUACGCCUUGAAUACAUUAGCAUGGAAUAAUAAGAUAGGACCUCGGUUCUAUUUUGUUGGUUUCUAGAGCUGAGGUAAUGAUUAAUAGGGAUAGUUGGGGGCAUUCGUAUUUAACUGUCAGAGGUGAAAUUCUUGGAUUUGUUAAAGACGGACUACUGCGAANGNAUUUGCNAAGGAUGUUUNCAUUG
rnacentral:rRNA from 1 species